CGGGUGAGUAACACGUGGAUAACCUACAUAUAAGACUGGGAUAACUUCGGGAAACCGGAGCUAAUACCGGAUAAUAUUUUGAACCGCAUGGUUCAAAAGUGAAAGACGGUCUUGCUGUCACUUAUAGAUGGAUCCGCGCUGCGUUAGCUAGUUGGUAAGGUAACGGCUUACCAAGGCAACGAUGCAUAGCCGACCUGAGAGGGUGAUCGGCCACACUGGAACUGAGACACGGUCCAG
rnacentral:rRNA from 1 species